rnacentral:rRNA from 1 species
AGACGUAGGGGGCAAGCGUUGUCCGGAAUUACUGGGCGUAAAGGGUGCGUAGGCGGCAAGCCAAAUCAGAUGUGAAAUCCCCGGGCUUAACUCGGGGGGUGCAUUUGAAACUGGCUAGCUUGAGUGCAGGAGAGGAAAGCGGAAUUCCUAGUGUAGCGGUGAAAUGCGUAGAUAUUAGGAGGAACACCAGUGGCGAAGGCGGCUUUCUGGACUGUAACUGACGUUGAGGCUCGAAAGCGUGGGGAGC